UACGGGGGGGGCAAGCGUUGUUCGGAAUUACUGGGCGUAAAGGGCUCGUAGGUGGCCAACUAAGUCAGACGUGAAAUCCCUCAGCUUAACUGGGGAACUGCGUCUGAUACUGGAUGGCUUGAGUUUGGGAGAGGGAUGCGGAAUUCCAGGUGUAGCGGUGAAAUGCGUAGAUAUCUGGAGGAACACCGGUGGCGAAGGCGGCAUCCUGGACCAACACUGACACUGAGGCGCGACAGCGUGGGGAGCAAACAGG
rnacentral:rRNA from 1 species